UACGUAGGGUGCGAGCGUUGUCCGGAAUUAUUGGGCGUAAAAGGGCUCGUAGGCGGUUUGUCGCGUCGGAAGUGAAAACACGGGGCUUAACUCUGUGCUUGCUUUCGAUACGGGCAGACUAGAGGGAUGCAGGGGAGAACGGAAUUCCUGGUGUAGCGGUGAAAUGACGCAGAUAUCAGGAGGAACACCGGUGGCGAAGGCGGUUCUCUGGGCAUUCCCUGACGCUGAGGAGCGAAAGUGUGGGGAGCGAACAGG
rnacentral:rRNA from 1 species